AUGAACGCUUGGCUGGCGUGCGUUAUCACAUGCUACAGUCGCACGAGUAAGUCCUCUGCUUGCAGAAUGAUAGUAAAGUGGCGCUCGGGUGAGUAACGCGUGGGUAAUCUACCUUCAAAUCGGGGAUAACAUUGCGAAAGCGAUGCUAAUACCGGAUGAUGUGCAAUAGACCCCGGUCUAUAAGAUUAAAGGUGGCCUCUAUAUAUAAGCCACUGUUUGAAGAUGAGCCCGCGUACCAUUAGCCAGUUGGUAGGGUAACGGCCUACCAAAGCAACGAUGGUUAGGUGGUCUGAGAGGAUGACCAGCCACACUGUAAGUGACACACGGUCCAGACUCCUACGGGAGGCAGCAGUGAGGAAUUUUGCGCAAUGGGGGAAACCCUGACGCAGCAACGCCGCGUGAGUGAUGAAGGCUUUCGGGUCGUAAAGCUCUGUCAAGUGGGAAGAACCUGGCCGAUGUGAAUACCAUUGGCCACUGACGGUACCACUGAAGGAAGCACCGGCUAACUCCGUGCCAGCAGCCGCGGUAAUACGGGGGGUGCAAGCGUUAUUCGGAAUUAUUGGGCGUAAAGAGCGCGUAGGCGGUCUUUUAAGUCAGAUGUGAAAGCCCGGGGCUCAACCUUCGGAAGUGCAUUUUGAAACUGACGGACUUGAGUAUGGGGAGAGGGAAGUGGACUUUCUGGUGUAGAGGUGAAAUUCGUAGAUAUCCGGAGGAACCACCGGUGGGCGAAUGCGACUUCCUGGACCAAUACUGACGCUGGCGCGCGAACGUCUUGAGGAGCAAAUAGGAUUUAUAUAUCCCU
rnacentral:rRNA from 1 species